UUAUGAUGCAACUUUCAUGGCUGACAGU
rnacentral:sRNA from 1 species